GUGUUGUAUGAAAGGAGAUAAGGUUAGCACUCCCCUUGCCAAGGAUGAAAGAGGUCCUCAGGCCUACACAACAUGUAUAUGGUUAAGACACUGCCACCUACUUCGUGGCAUCUAACCGUGGUUCUCU